rnacentral:rRNA from 1 species
AAAAUACAUGAUUCCCCANUAACUGCGAGUGAAGACGGACAGCUCAAAUUUUAAAUCUGUUGGGUUUCACCUAACAGAGUUGUAUUUUGAAGAAACGUUUUCUGCGUCCAGGAUUAGCCUAAAUCCUUUGGGAUAAGGUAUCAUGGAGGGUGAGAAUCCCGUUCAUGGUUAAUCUUAAGGAUGCUCUACGAUACGUUCUCCAAGAGUCGAGUUGUUUGGGAUUGCAGCUCAAAAUGGGAGGUAAAUUUCUCCUAAGGCUAAAUAUUGGCGAGAGACCGAUAGCGAACAAGUACCGUGAGGGAAAGAUGAAAAGAACUUUGAAAAGAGAGUUAAACAGUACGUGAAAUUGUUGAAAGGGAAACGAUUGAAGUCAGUCAUACCAACGGGAAAUCAACCUCUUGGGUUUGGUCUUGUGGGUUUCGAAGAGUUUAAAAGCCUUCGGAUUUGCGAGGAUUGGGCUCUUUUGGUGUACUUUCUCGUACGGUUAGUCAACAUCGGUUUUGAAUGUCAUAAAAUGACUGGAGGAAUGUGGCUUCGAUCUCGUAUUGAAGUGUUAUAGCCUUUGGUAGAUGUGAUGUUCGAGACCGAGGAUUGCAACGGAUACCCUUCUGGGCUAUUCGUCUGAUCUCUGAUACGUUGCCUUGGUGUCGAAAGCUUGCUUAUGAUAUUAGGGUAUUACGGUCAAAAGGUUAGAACGGAUUAAAUUCGUUAAGGAUGUUGACGUA